rnacentral:lncRNA from 1 species
UCGUAGGUUUUUCGAAACUGUUUUCGGGAUAGGGUAAAAAACUCAACUAAAAAGAGUUAGGUUUCAGAUUUUGUUCUCUACGCUUCAUUUUCGAUUUCGCCCUAAUUAACAUUCAUCUUGCUCCUUUCAAUCGGUGUUUGCGUUUCUUCUUGUUGUUCCUUUCAAUCGGUGCUUGCGUUUCUUCUUCUUGUUCUCGUGAAACAUCUCUGCCCUAGCUUUCUUUCACUCGUUCAUCUCCUUGUUCUCACUCUCUUUCAUUCGUUCAGCUUACAUGUUCCUCUCACUUGUUACCUUUCAUGUAUUUCCUCUAGCUUUUGUUUCGUAGUAGCCUACCACCAUCCACCUCCUCAGCUGAAAGUAUGUUAAUGUUAGCUAGUAACGUUUGUUUUAAGAGAGAUUUGGAAGGGCUUGUGAUUUUCUUUGAUUUCUAUGUAAAGCUUUUUAUGUAUUUAGGUUUUCUAUUGAGGUAUCAAUUUACUAAAUUCAAUAGAAUCUAUUCUUCUAACUUUUCAUAUGUUGUUGUUGGUGUAUAAUACUGAUAUGUUUGUUAAAAUCUAUGUCAAUAUCAUUCAAUAACAAAGAUUUGAUUAUGCUAAUAUGCUAUAUAAUUUUUCUGAAAUUAUAAAGAUCAGUUAUGCUUCUAUUUUUCUUAAAUCAGUAAUCUACUUAAUUGUUCUCAAAUUCUCUUUACUAUUACUGUUUAUGUAAUGAGAAAUUUAAAUGUGUUUACAGGAUGUGGACUAUUUGUGAACAUAAAGGACUUGUAAGGACAAGAACAAUGGAAGCUGGACAAUUAAAUAAUUUAGUUUCAGAGAGUUGUAAUUCAAGAAAUGUAAGCAUUUUUAUACUUUGAAUUUAAUUUUUCAUGCGUCAUAUGAAAUUUCUGUAUUUUUUGAUUUUAUGUUUGUCUAUUUUAAUUGCAAAAGAAGGAAGUGAAGCACAAAACUUAAGGCAAUUUUAUUAUAAAAACUGUACAGUGAGUCACAUAUAUUGUGAUCCUAUUUAUUAUCUUAUUUUUGUUAUUUUAUAUGUUAAUUAAGAUUAUUUUCAUCUACAAUCUAUACACAACAAGAUAUUUGAAUUGUGAGCA